ACGCUGGCGGCACGCCUAACACAUGCAAGUCGAACGAAGUAGCAAUACUUAGUGGCAGACGGGUGAGUAACAUGUAGGUAUCUGCCCUUUGGCCUGGAAUAACACGAGGAAACUUGUGCUAAUACCAGAUAAGUCUUUACGGAGAAAGCUUUAUGCACCAUUGGAUGAGCCUGCACUUGAUUAGUUUGUUGGUGGGGUAACGGCCUACCAAGACUGUGAUCAAUAGCUGAUUUGAGAGGAUGAUCAGCCACAUUGGGACUGAGACACGGCCCAAACUCCUACGGGAGGCAGCAGUGGGGAAUCUUGCACAAUGGAGGAAACUCUGAUGCAGCGAUGCCGCGUGAGUGAAGAAGGCCCUUGGGUUGUAAAGCUCUUUCGUCGGGGAAGAAAAUGACUGUACCCGAAUAAGAAGGUCCGGCUAACUUCGUGCCAGCAGCCGCGGUAAUACGAAGGGACCUAGCGUAGUUCGGAAUUACUGGGCUUAAAGAGUUCGUAGGUGGUUGAAAAAGUUGGUGGUGAAAUCCCAGAGCUUAACUCUGGAACUGCCAUCAAAACUUUUCAGCUAGAGUAUGAUAGAGGAAAGCAGAAUUUCUAGUGUAGAGGUGAAAUUCGUAGAUAUUAGAAAGAAUACCAAUUGCGAAGGCAGCUUUCUGGAUCAUUACUGACACUGAGGAACGAAAGCAUGGGUAGCGAAGAGGAUUAGAUACCCUCGUAGUCCAUGCCGUAAACGAUGUGUGUUAGACGUUGGAAAUUUAUUUUCAGUGUCGCAGCGAAAGCGAUAAACACACCCGCC
rnacentral:rRNA from 1 species